rnacentral:tRNA from 4 species
ACGCCAAUAGCUCAAUUGGUAGAGCAGCGGAUUCCAAAUCCGCAGGUUGGGGGUUCGAGUCCCUCUUGGCGUG